rnacentral:rRNA from 1 species
CUGCGGAAGGACAUUGU